CGGGGGGGGCAAGCGUUGUUCGGAAUUACUGGGCGUAAAGGGCGCGUAGGCGGCCUGCUAAGUCACACGUGAAAUCCCUCGGCUCAACCGGGGAACUGCGUGUGAUACUGGCGGGCUUGAAUUCGGGAGAGGGAUGUGGAAUUCCAGGUGUAGCAGUGAAAUGCGUAGAUAUCUGGAGGAACACCGGUGGCGAAGGCGGCAUCCUGGACCGAGAUUGACGCUGAGGCGCGGAAGCUAGGGUAGCAAACGGGAUUAGAUACCCCGGUAGUCCUAGCCCUAAACGAUGAGUGCUCGGUGUGGCGGGUAUCGAUCCCUGCCGUGCCGAAGCUAACGCAUUAAGCACUCCGCCUGGGGGAGUACGGUCGCAAGGCUG
rnacentral:rRNA from 1 species